rfam:Lupinus angustifolius cultivar Tanjil contig_43961, whole genome shotgun sequence.
AAACCGUGCUUGAGACAUUUUCUCAAUAACAUCUUAAAACACUCCCAAGCUUCAUAAAAUGCUUCAUCUGCACUUGUGGAAAGGUUGAUAUCUCAAUUUUGGCAU